UUAAGUGACUAAGCGUACACGGUGGAUGCCUUGGCAGUCAGAGGCGAUGAAAGACGUAGUAACUUGCGAUAAGCCCAGAUUAGGUAGUAACAACCAUUUGAGUCUGGGAUUUCUGAAUGGGGAAACCCACGUGCAUAAGCACGUAUCCUUACCUGAAUACAUAGGGUAAGGAGGCGAACCGGGGGAACUGAAACAUCUAAGUACCCCGAGGAAAAGAAAUCAACCGAGAUUCCGAAAGUAGCGGCGAGCGAAAUUGGACUAGCCCUUAAGCUUUACACGCGUUAGACGAACGGUCUGGAAAGUCCGACGAUACAGGGUGAUAGUCCCGUAGUUGACGACGUGUGUUCAGUGAAAUCGAGUAGGGCGGGACACGUGAUAUCCUGUCUGAAUAUGGGGGGACCAUCCUCCAAGGCUAAAUACUACUGACUGACCGAUAGUGAACCAGUACCGUGAGGGAAAGGCGAAAAGAACCCCUGUGAGGGGAGUGAAAUAGAACCUGAAACCGUGUACGUACAAGCAGUAGGAGCAGGCUUUGUCCUGUGACUGCGUACCUUUUGUAUAAUGGGUCAGCGACUUAUAUUCAGUGGCAAGGUUAACCAUCUAGGGGAGCCGUAGGGAAACCGAGUCUUAACUGGGCGUUCAGUCUCUGGAUAUAGACCCGAAACCAGGUGAUCUAGCCAUGGGCAGGUUGAAGGUUGAGUAACAUCAACUGGAGGACCGAACCGACUAAUGUUGAAAAAUUAGCGGAUGACUUGUGGCUAGGGGUGAAAGGCCAAUCAAACCUGGAGAUAGCUGGUUCUCCCCGAAAGCUAUUUAGGUAGCGCCUCGGACGAAUACUACUGGGGGUAGAGCACUGUUAAGGCUAGGGGGUCAUCCCGACUUACCAACCCUUUGCAAACUCCGAAUACCAGUAAGUACUAUCCGGGAGACACACGGCGGGUGCUAACGUCCGUCGUGGAGAGGGAAACAACCCAGACCGCCAGCUAAGGUCCCAAAUUACUACUAAGUGGGAAACGAUGUGGGAAGGCUCAGACAGCCAGGAUGUUGGCUUAGAAGCAGCCAUCAUUUAAAGAAAGCGUAAUAGCUCACUGGUCGAGUCGGCCUGCGCGGAAGAUGUAACGGGGCUAAGUAGUAAACCGAAGCUGCGGCAAUGUGCUUUUGCACAUUGGGUAGGGGAGCGUUCUGUAAGCGGUUGAAGGUGUGUGGUAACGCAUGCUGGACGUAUCAGAAGUGCGAAUGCUGACAUGAGUAACGAUAAAGGGGGUGAAAAACCUCCUCGCCGGAAGACCAAGGGUUCCUGUCCAACGUUAAUCGGGGCAGGGUAAGUCGACCCCUAAGGCGAGGCCGAAAGGCGUAGUCGAUGGGAAACGGGUUAAUAUUCCCGUACUUCUUACAAUUGCGAUGGGGGGACGGAGAAGGCUAGGUGGGCCUGGCGACGGUUGUCCAGGUUCAAGUGCGUAGGCUUAAGAGUUAGGUAAAUCCGGCUCUUUUUAAGGCUGAGACACGACGUCGAGCAUCUACGGAUGUGAAGUCAUUGAUGCCAUGCUUCCAGGAAAAGCCUCUAAGCUUCAGAUUGUAAGGAAUCGUACCCCAAACCGACACAGGUGGUCGGGUAGAGAAUACCAAGGCGCUUGAGAGAACUCGGGUGAAGGAACUAGGCAAAAUGGUACCGUAACUUCGGGAGAAGGUACGCUCUCGACGGUGAAGUCCCUCGCGGAUGGAGCUAUUGAGAGUCGCAGAUACCAGGUGGCUGCAACUGUUUAUUAAAAACACAGCACUGUGCAAAAUCGUAAGAUGACGUAUACGGUGUGACGCCUGCCCGGUGCCGGAAGGUUAAUUGAUGGGGUUAGACUUCGGUCGAAGCUCUUGAUCGAAGCCCCGGUAAACGGCGGCCGUAACUAUAACGGUCCUAAGGUAGCGAAAUUCCUUGUCGGGUAAGUUCCGACCUGCACGAAUGGCGUAAUGAUGGCCACGCUGUCUCCACCCGAGACUCAGUGAAAUUGAAAUCGCUGUGAAGAUGCAGUGUACCCGCGGCUAGACGGAAAGACCCCGUGAACCUUUACUACAGCUUGGCACUGAACAUUGACCCUACAUGUGUAGGAUAGGUGGGAGGCUUUGAAGCACGUACGCCAGUAUGUGUGGAGCCGUCCUUGAAAUACCACCCUUGUAGUGUUGAUGUUCUAACGUCGACCCCUUAUCGGGGUUGCGGACAGUGCCUGGUGGGUAGUUUGACUGGGGCGGUCUCCUCCCAAAGAGUAACGGAGGAGCACGAAGGUGGGCUAAUCACGGUUGGACAUCGUGAGGUUAGUGCAAUGGCAUAAGCCCGCUUGACUGCGAGAAUGACAAUUCGAGCAGGUGCGAAAGCAGGUCAUAGUGAUCCGGUGGUUCUGAAUGGAAGGGCCAUCGCUCAACGGAUAAAAGGUACUCCGGGGAUAACAGGCUGAUACCGCCCAAGAGUUCAUAUCGACGGCGGUGUUUGGCACCUCGAUGUCGGCUCAUCACAUCCUGGGGCUGAAGUCGGUCCCAAGGGUAUGGCUGUUA
rnacentral:rRNA from 1 species